CGUAGGGUGCGAGCGUUAAUCGGAAUUACUGGGCGUAAAGCGUGCGCAGGCGGUUUUGUAAGACAGGCGUGAAAUCCCCGGGCUCAACCUGGGAACUGCGUUUGUGACUGCAAGGCUAGAGUAUGGCAGAGGGGGGUGGAAUUCCACGUGUAGCAGUGAAAUGCGUAGAGAUGUGGAGGAACACCGAUGGCGAAGGCAGCCCCCUGGGCCAAUACUGACGCUCAUGCACGAAAGCGUGGGUAGCAAACAGGAUUAGAUACCCUGGUAGUCCACGCCCUAAACGAUGUCAACUAGGUGUUGGGCGGGUAAAACCAUUUAGUACCGGAGCUAACGCGUGAAGUUGACCGCCUGGGGAGUACGGCCGCAAGGUUA
rnacentral:rRNA from 1 species